AUAAAUAAAACCGGUGUUUUACUUGACAGGUGUGAAGAAACAGUUUCUUUCAAAAAGCCUUCAGUCUAAAACUCUAAACAUAGCUGAUCAAGUGCUACUGUUUGAGGCUGUACCUAAAAUUAAUAUUCAAAUUAUGUACCUGCCAAUCUACCCUAUAACCUGCUCUGUUAUCCAGAUGUCCACAGAAAUGAAUUUCUAUGAAUAUUAG
rnacentral:lncRNA from 1 species